rnacentral:misc_RNA from 1 species
UUUGUUCGGAUAAGAAGCCUGCUGCUGUAAAUUGGAUUGAAGGACGUGGCAAAUCAGUUGUUUGUGAGGCAAUUAUCAAGGAAGAGGUGGUGAAGAAGGUGUUGAAAACCAAUGUGGCCUCCCUAGUGGAGCUUAACAUGCUCAAGAAUCUUGCUGGUUCUGCUGUUGCUGGUGCUUUGGGUGGAUUUAAUGCCCAUGCAGGCAACAUCGUAUCUGCAAUCUUUAUUGCCACUGGCCAGGAUCCAGCACAGAAUGUUGAGAGUUCUCAUUGCAUUACCAUGAUGGAAGCUGUCAAUGAUGGAAAGGAUCUCCAUAUCUCUGU